ACCCUACAGUGUGUUCGAACAGCCGAAGCUGAGUAUGCGAAGAUUCAUAAUGCAUGGAAGCAAUGACUGCUGCUGGCUUUGAAGCUGGUUGAGGUUGUUGCUUGCCGUUGGUUGUAGGUAGAGGCCUUGUGGUGGUCCAAGAUUCUUACAUAGUGUUGUGCCUGGUUUCUUCUUGAAGGAUUUGUUGCGAAAGCUGGGAAUGUUAAGAGGAAUCUGCUUUGAGAGGUGUCGUAGUCUGAGAGGAAACGAUUUCUUCUAGGCCAGUGGUGUUCCUUUGCGCUAUAGCCAGUGCGCUAUCUCCUAGAACCUAUCAUGGAGGAGGUUGACAUCACAGACAAGUUCAUGCUUGAGGUCAUUUUCAUUAAGCUGCAGCUCGCGCAACCACUAUUUUUACUACUGCAAAGUUGGACAGAGGUUUGCAGUAACAAUCAAGCUCCGUCCCAGCACGCGGCAUCAGCGACAUGAUGCUGAAGCAAUGGCACUAUCUGGAUAUUCAUCUAAUUCCAUAGAAGUUGCAACGGAUGUUGCAGCGGCUCGAGUUAUCAGAUACAUGGAGGCUGUGUGUGCCAAGGUGCUCAAGGACUAUAGUUAGAACGAACUGAAACAAACAAAGGAAAGAGAAUUGCAUCUAAUUGGUUUGUUAAUAGACAAAGAAAAGUAGAUCAAAGAGCAGAAUUGGAAGAUCAGAGAGCUUAGCAAAGGCUUUGCAGACAAUAUGUAUCAAGUUAAAAACACUUUUGCUGGGAUUCAUCACAUAGCUAAAGACGGUGUAUACUCAACCAGUUCUACAAACGGCAAUGACCCCACAAGGCUGAUGUUGAUGUGCAGAAUGAACUUGCUCAUCUGCAGGAUGCAGUUGAUUGACUAAUGACCCUAUGCAGCUGAUUCGAAACACGUUGGUUCAUCCCUUUUAAAUAGUGUCUACUUCCAUGCCUAUGUACCUUUGGAAGAUGCUUACCGGCUAUAACAACUUUAUUUAAAUGACCA